AUGAACGAAUUAAUGGGAGGUAGCUGUCUCCAGGGGUAUUAGUACUAAAUUAGUAAGUAAGUGAAAAUACUUACGGGAAGAAAAUAGACGAGAGAACCCUAGAAGCUUGCUAUUUGUUUUGUUGGGGCGACAGAAUUGCAUUAAAACCAAUUUUAUAGAUGUGACGUAUAGCAGGAAAAAUAAGCUACUCUAGGGAUAACAGCAUAAUUAAAAUUUGUUUGUGACCUCGAUGUUGGACUAGGUAGAAUAGUCCUUAGAAGGGACUAAAAAUGCUCUGUUCGAGCAGCUUAACCUACA
rnacentral:rRNA from 1 species